ACCCAGCUGGCUCAAUUGGUAGAGCAUGUGACUCUUGAUCUCAAGAUCAUGAGUUUGAGCCACACGUUGGGUA
rnacentral:tRNA from 1 species